UACAGAGGGGGCAAGCGUUGUUCGGAAUUACUGGGCGUAAAGGGCGCGUAGGCGGCCUUCUAAGUCGAACGUGAAAUCCCUGGGCUCAACCCAGGAACUGCGUCCGAUACUGGAAGGCUUGAAUCCGGGAGAGGGAUGCGGAAUUCCAGGUGUAGCGGUGAAAUGCGUAGAUAUCUGGAGGAACACCGGUGGCGAAGGCGGCAUCCUGGACCGGCAUUGACGCUGAGGCGCGAAAGCUAGGGGAGCAAACAGG
rnacentral:rRNA from 1 species